rnacentral:misc_RNA from 1 species
AACGCAUCUUGCGCUCUUUGGUAUUCCGAAGAGCAUACCUGUUUGAGUGUCAUUAAAUUCCCUCAACCACAUUUCUUAUUUUGAAGUGAGGCUUGGAUGCUGGAGUGUUGCAGGCAAUUUUCAUGUUGUGUCUGCUCCUCUAAAAUACAUUAGUGGAGAUAUAAUCCUUUUCACAAAAGGCUUUUGAUUUUCUUCCAUAUGGUGUGAUAGAUGUUUUCUUACCACCGAUUUGUGAGAUUAGGCCUGAGGGGAUGUCUUGCUUUGCUCUACAACUGUCUUGUUUUAAAAGACUGAACUUGAACUCAAGUUCAUUAUUUGACAUUUGAUCUCAAAUCAGGUAGGAUUACCCGCUGAACUUAA